GAGAGAUGGCUGAGUGGUUGAAAGCUCCGGUCUUGAAAACCGGCAUAGUCCUCAGGAUUAUCGAGGGUUCGAAUCCCUCUCUCUCCU
rnacentral:tRNA from 1 species